rnacentral:rRNA from 1 species
AUGAUGUGGUUUAAUUCGAUGCAACGCGAAAACCUUACCACCUUUGACAUGUACGGAAUCCUUUAGAGAUAGAGGAGUGCUCGAAAGAGAGCCGUAACACAGGUGCUGCAUGGCUGUCGUCAGCUCGUGUCGUGAGAUGUUGGGUUAAGUCCCGCAACGAGCGCAACCCUUGUCAUUAGUUGCUACAUUCAGUUGGGCACUCUAAUGAGACUGCCGGUGACAAACCGGAGGAAGGUGGGGAUGACGUCAAGUCCUCAUGGCCCUUAUAGGUGGGGCUACACACGUCAUACAAUGGAUGGUACAGAGGGUCGCCAACCCGCGAGGGGGAGCCAAUCCCAUAAAGCCAUUCGUAGUCCGGAUCGCAGUCUGCAACUCGACUGCGUGAAGUCGGAAUCGCUAGUAAUCGUGGAUCAGAAUGUCACGGUGAAUACGUUCCCGGGUCUU